rnacentral:rRNA from 1 species
GAGUCAACAUAGCAAUAUGUGGCAUACGGCUCAGUAACACGUAGUCAACAUGCCCAGGGGACGUGGAUAACCUCGGGAAACUGAGGAUAAACCGCGAUAGGUCAUCACUUCUGGAAUGGGUAAUGACUUAAAUCUAUAUGGCCCCUGGAUUGGACUGCGGCCGAUCAGGCUGUUGGUGAGGUAAUGGCCCACCAAACCUGUAACCGGUACGGGCUCUGAGAGGAGGAGCCCGGAGAUGGGCACUGAGACAAGGGCCCAGGCCCUAUGGGGCGCAGCAGGCGCGAAACCUCUGCAAUAGGCGAAAGCUUGACAGGGUUACUCUGAGUGAUUUCCGUUAAGGAGAUCUUUUGGCACCUCUAAAAAUGGUGCAGAAUAAGGGGUGGGCAAGUCUGGUGUCAGCCGCCGCGGUAAUACCAGCACCCCGAGUGGUCGGGACGUUUAUUGGGCCUAAAGCAUCCGUAGCCGGUUCUACAAGUCUUCCGUUAAAUCCACCUGCUUAACAGAUGGGCUGCGGAAGAUACUAUAGAGCUAGGAGGCGGGAGAGGCAAGCGGUACUCGAUGGGUAGGGGUAAAAUCCGUUGAUCCAUUGAAGACCACCAGUGGCGAAGGCGGCUUGCCAGAACGCGCUCGACGGUGAGGGAUGAAAGCUGGGGGAGCAAACCGGAUUAGAUACCCGGGUAGUCCCAGCUGUAAACGACGCAGACUCGGUGAUGAGUUGGCUUAUUGCUAACUCAGUGCCGCAGGGAAGCCGUUAAGUUUGCCGCCUGGGGAGUACGGUCGCAAGACUGAA